rnacentral:rRNA from 1 species
AUUGAACGCUAGCGGGAUGCCUUACACAUGCAAGUCGAACGGCAGCGCGGACUUCGGUCUGGCGGCGAGUGGCGAACGGGUGAGUAAUGUAUCGGAACGUGCCCAGUAGCGGGGGACAACCACUCGAAAGAGUGGCUAAUACCGCAUACGCCCUACGGGGAAAGGGGGGGAUCGCAAGACCUCUCACUAUUGGAGCGGCCGAUAUCGGAUUAGCUAGUUGGUGGGGUAAAAGGCCUACCAAGGCGACGAUCCGUAGCUGGUUUGAGAGGACGACCAGCCACACUGGGACUGAGACACGGCCCAGACUCCUACGGGAGGCAGCAGUGGGGAAUUUUGGACAAUGGGGGAAACCCUGAUCCAGCCAUUCCGCGUGUGCGAUGAAGGCCUUCGGGUUGUAAAGCACUUUUGGCAGGAAAGAAAUCGUGUGGGUUAAUACCCUGCGCGGAUGACGGUACCUGCAGAAUAAGCACCGGCUAACUACGUG